AUUGAACGCUGGCGGCAGGCCUAACACAUGCAAGUCGAGCGAGCGGCGGACGGGUGAGUAAUGUCUGGGAAACUGCCUGAUGGAGGGGGAUAACUACUGGAACCGGUAGCUAUACCCCCACACAAUCAGUUGUGCCCAGAUGGGAUUAGCUAGUAGGUGGGGUAACGGCUCACCUAGGCGACGAUCCCUAGCUGGUCUGAGAGGAUGACCAGCCACACUGGAACUGAGACACGGUCCAGACUCCUACGGGAGGCAGCAGUGGGGAAUAUUGCACAAUGGGCGCAAGCCUGAUGCAGCCAUGCCGCGUGUGUGAAGAAGGCCUUCGGGUUGUAAAGCACUUUCAGCGGGGAGGCGUUACCCGCAGAAGAAGCACCGGCUAACUCCGUGCCAGCAGCCGCGGUAAUUC
rnacentral:rRNA from 1 species